CUAGAGAUUAUGCUGAGUCAUAAAAACCAUCAUUGUAACUAUCAAAUUUCACUUUAAUAUCUAUUAACUUUUAAAUUCUAUUCUCUUUUACUUCUAUUUUAACAAUGUCUUCUAAAUUUCUGUGAGCAAAAAGAGUGAAUAAAUAAAAAGAAAAAUUUCAUAUGAAAAAAAAUAAUAGUAGUGAGGUAUGCCACUCCUAAAUCAUAUUUUUUUGUAACUGUAAUCUUAAGGAUAGGAAACAAUGUUUCCUACAUUUGAUAAUACAAAUAUACUCAUUUUUAAGUUUCUCCUCAUCUUUCCAUGUAUUUAUAUUUUGAAAACAAAAAUGGGUUCAUCUGCUGUUUACUGUUUUCCACUUAAUGUAGAAAUGGGCAUUCAUGUCAAUUAAUAAAAAUCAUCUGAUAAAGCCUACCAAGAACUUUGCUGCUGCAGUCACACAAAAUUAUGUUUAUUGAUUUGCAGAGGGAUAAAGUUUAGGUAAAAUUUUAAAUGAAACCAUGCUUUGAAAGACUGAAAGCAAAGCAGAGUUGUAUGUAAUAUUAAGUUAAUACCAACUCUGGUCUAAGUAGACUGGGAAUCCCUUCUGAAUGGUAAAGUUGAGAUAAAUGUAAAAUGUGUCUGAAACCAAACCUGGGUUGGAAAUAAGGACUGCUUUUUCUGGAAGUGGCCCAUAAAAGGGAAUACCACUCAGCUAUAAAAAGGAACGAACUAUAAAUACAUGGAGCAACAUGAAUGAAUCUCAAUUAUGCUGAAUGAAAGAAUCUAGGAUCUCUCCCUCACUGCCCCUCCCCCUCCAAAGAACAUAUUGUAUGUUUCCGUUUAUGUAAAAUUAGAACAUGCAAAAUAAUUAUUGGUGACAGAAAGCCAAUAAGUGGUUACUUGGGGAUGCAAGGUGAGAACAAAAAGGUGGGAGGGGGAGGUACUAGGAGUACCAGGAAACUUGGGAUGAUUAAUAUGUUCAUUAUCUUGAUUGUGGUGAUGAUUUUGAAGCCAGAAUUAAAAAAAAAACAGGUAGUCAGCCUAGAUUGAUAAAUCUGGCCAGAUUGUAGAAAACAGACUAAACCCGUUUGCGUCCAAAGGUUGGAAAUUGUGCCCUUGGGAGAUUGGCCUAUACUGCCCAUCCUAAAAGAAUUGUUAAUGAAGCAACUUCUGAGCAGACUGGAGUUGGAACUGCUAAUUAAUUCUCCCUAGGCCCCCUUUCCUACCCAGACCACUCCUCCCUGACCCCUCUACCUUUUGGCCAUCCCAUGCAGUAUCUCCUGGGCCUAGUCAUAGAUAUGCAGGAAGGAGAGAGAUAAGGGGGGAAGAAAACAGGAGAACAAAGGAAACCUAGGACAGAUAAAAAGGCAAAACACCCUCACUUCUGGGGAUACCAGCUAUGGUCCCCUUCUCCCUCCCAGGAGAAGUGACCCUUUUUAAAAUAAACCCUUUUUAAAUAAACCCUGCUUUAUAUGCUUGCCUCUCAGUGCUUCUCUAAUGUUAUACUUCAGUAUGUGAGGAAGCAGGACUCAUCACCAGUAACAGAUGGUAUCAAUUUUACAGGUGUAUAUGUAUUUUAAAACUUACCAAAGUACCAAAUUGUGUACUUUAAGUAUUAUAGUUUAUAUUAACUAUAUUUCAAAAAAGCAGUUCAAAAAAUUUUAAAAGUGAUUCAUAUGAGUUGGUGCUGAUGGGAUUUCAAACAAGUUAUUUUUGCUGAUACAUGAUUUUAAAGAACAUGAUUUCUCAACACUAUAACCUUGAUGUUAUAAUUAUAACCAAAGCAGGUUUUUUUUUAACAGUUU
rnacentral:lncRNA from 1 species